GCUUAACACAUGCAAGUCGAGGGGCAGCAUUUUAGUUUGCUUGCAAACUAAAGAUGGCGACCGGCGCACGGGUGAGUAACACGUAUCCAACCUGCCGAUAACUCGGGGAUAGCCUUUCGAAAGAAAGAUUAAUAUCCGAUAGUAUAUUAAAACCGCAUGGUUUUACUAUUAAAGAAUUUCGGUUAUCGAUGGGGAUGCGUUCCAUUAGUUUGUUGGCGGGGUAACGGCCCACCAAGACAACGAUGGAUAGGGGUUCUGAGAGGAAGGUCCCCCACAUUGGAACUGAGACACGGUCCAAACUCCUACGGGAGGCAGCAGUGAGGAAUAUUGGUCAAUGGACGAGAGUCUGAACCAGCCAAGUAGCGUGAAGGAUGACUGCCCUAUGGGUUGUAAACUUCUUUUAUAUGGGAAUAAAGUAUUCCACGUGUGGAAUUUUGUAUGUACCAUAUGAAUAAGGAUCGGCUAACUCCGUGCCAGCAGCCGCGGUAAUACGGAGGAUCCGAGCGUUAUCCGGAUUUAUUGGGUUUAAAGGGAGCGUAGGUGGAUUGUUAAGUCAGUUGUGAAAGUUUGCGGCUCAACCGUAAAAUUGCAGUUGAAACUGGCAGUCUUGAGUACAGUAGAGGUGGGCGGAAUUCGUGGUGUAGCGGUGAAAUGCUUAGAUAUCACGAAGAACUCCGAUUGCGAAGGCAGCUCACUAGACUGCAACUGACACUGAUGCUCGAAAGUGUGGGUAUCAAACAGGAUUAGAUACCCUGGUAGUCCACACAGUAAACGAUGAAUACUCGCUGUUUGCGAUAUACAGUAAGCGGCCAAGCGAAAGCAUUAAGUAUUCCACCUGGGGAGUACGCCGGCAACGGUGAAACUCAAAGGAAUUGACGGGGGCCCGCACAAGCGGAGGAACAUGUGGUUUAAUUCGAUGAUACGCGAGGAACCUUACCCGGGCUUAAAUUGCAUUUGAAUAAUCUGGAAACAGGUUAGCCGCAAGGCAAAUGUGAAGGUGCUGCAUGGUUGUCGUCAGCUCGUGCCGUGAGGUGUCGGCUUAAGUGCCAUAACGAGCGCAACCCUUAUCUUUAGUUACUAACAGGUCAUGCUGAGGACUCUAGAGAGACUGCCGUCGUAAGAUGUGAGGAAGGUGGGGAUGACGUCAAAUCAGCACGGCCCUUACGUCCGGGGCUACACACGUGUUACAAUGGGGGGUACAGAAGGCAGCUACCUGGCGACAGGAUGCUAAUCCCAAAAACCUCUCUCAGUUCGGAUCGAAGUCUGCAACCCGACUUCGUGAAGCUGGAUUCGCUAGUAAUCGCGCAUCAGCCAUGGCGCGGUGAAUACGUUCCCGGGCCUUGUACACACCGCCCGUCAAGCCAUGAAAGCCGGGGGUACCUGAAGUACGUAACAGCAAGGAGCGUCCUAGGGUAAAACUGGUAAUUGGGGCCA
rnacentral:rRNA from 1 species